rnacentral:rRNA from 1 species
GACGAACGCUGGCGGCGUGCUUAACACAUGCAAGUCGAACGGAAAGGCCCUGCUUUUGUGGGGUGCUCGAGUGGCGAACGGGUGAGUAACACGUGAGUAACCUGCCCUUGACUUUGGGAUAACUUCAGGAAACUGGGGCUAAUACCGGAUAGGAGCUCCUGCUGCAUGAUGGUGGUUGGAUAGUUUCGGCGGUUGGGGAUGGACUCGCGGCUUUUCAGCUUGUUGGUGGGGUAGUUGCUUACCAAGGCGUUGACGGGUAGCCGACAUGAGAGGGUGACCGGACACAUAAGAACUGAGAUACGGACCAGCCUCCUACGGGCGGCAGAAGUAGGGAAUAUUGCAAAAUGGGCCGAAGACUGAGCCAGCCACGGCGCGUGCGGGAUGACGGCCUUCGGGUUGUAAACAACUUUAGCCUGUGACGAAGCGUGCGUGACGGUAAUGGGUAGAGAAGCACCGGCUAACUACGUG